CGCGUUGGCCCAAUUGAUUGACGGUGCUUGCACCUGAUUGAUUUUGGUCGCCAACGAGUGGCGGACGGGUGAGUAACACGUAGGUAACCUGCCCAGAAGCGGGGGACAACAUUUGGAAACAGAUGCUAAUACCGCAUAACAACGUUGUUCGCAUGAACAACGCUUAAAAGAUGGCUUCUCGCUAUCACUUCUGGAUGGACCUGCGGUGCAUUAGCUUGUUGGUGGGGUAACGGCCUACCAAGGCGAUGAUGCAUAGCCGAGUUGAGAGACUGAUCGGCCACAAUGGGACUGAGACACGGCCCAUACUCCUACGGGAGGCAGCAGUAGGGAAUCUUCCACAAUGGGCGCAAGCCUGAUGGAGCAACACCGCGUGAGUGAAGAAGGGUUUCGGCUCGUAAAGCUCUGUUGUUAAAGAAGAACACGUAUGAGAGUAACUGUUCAUACGUUGACGGUAUUUAACCAGAGAGUCACGGCUAACUACGUGCCAGUAGCCGCGGUAAUACGUAGGUGGCAAGCGUUAUCCGGAUUUAUUGGGCGUAAAGAGAGUGCAGGCGGUUUUCUAAGUCUGAUGUGAAAGCCUUCGGCUUAACCGGAGAAGUGCAUCGGAAACUGGAUAACUUGAGUGCAGAAGAGGGUAGUGGAACUCCAUGUGUAGCGGUGGAAUGCGUAGAUAUAUGGAAGAACACCAGUGGCGAAGGCGGCUACCUG
rnacentral:rRNA from 1 species